rnacentral:rRNA from 1 species
GAUGAACGCUGGCGGCGUGCCUAAUACAUGCAAGUCGAGCGAACGGACGAGAAGCUUGCUUCUCUGAUGUUAGCGGCGGACGGGUGAGUAACACGUGGAUAACCUACCUAUAAGACUGGGAUAACUUCGGGAAACCGGAGCUAAUACCGGAUAAUAUUUUGAACCGCAUGGUUCAAAAGUGAAAGACGGUCUUGCUGUCACUUAUAGAUGGAUCCGCGCUGCAUUAGCUAGUUGGUAAGGUAACGGCUUACCAAGGCAACGAUGCAUAGCCGACCUGAGAGGGUGAUCGGCCACACUGGAACUGAGAAACGGCCCAAACCCCAACGGGAGGCAGCAAUAGGGAAUUUUCCGCAAUGGGCGAAAGCCUGAAGGAGCAACGCCGGGGGGGUGAUGAAGGUCUUCGGAUCGUAAAACCCUUUUAUUAGGGAAAAAAAUAUGUGUAAGUAACUGGGCAAAUCUUGGCGGUACCAAACAAAAAAGCCGCGGCUAACUGCGU